AGCGAACGCUGGCGGCAGGCUUAACACAUGCAAGUCGAGCGGGCGUAGCAAUACGUCAGCGGCAGACGGGUGAGUAACGCGUGGGAACAUACCUUUUGGUUCGGAACAACACAGGGAAACUUGUGCUAAUACCGGAUAAGCCCUUACGGGAAGAUUAUCGCCGAAAGAUUGGCCCGCGUCUGAUUAGCUAGUUGGUGAGGUAACGGCUCACCAAGGCGACGAUCAGUAGCGGUCUGAGAGGAUGAUCAGCCACAUUGGGACUGAGACACGGCCCAAACUCCUACGGGAGGCAGCAGUGGGGAAUAUUGGACAAUGGGCGAAAGCCUGAUCCAGCCAUGCCGCGUGAGUGAUGAAGGCCCUAGGGUUGUAAAGCUCUUUUGUGCGGGAAGAUAAUGACGGUACCGCAAGAAUAAGCCCCGGCUAACUUCGUGCCAACAGCAGCCGCCGU
rnacentral:rRNA from 1 species